rnacentral:antisense_RNA from 1 species
CUGCAGGCCGGGGAGCCCAGCCGGGGGCACCCUCAUACCAGGCUGACUGACGUCCCUGGCACCCAAAUGUCGCGGGGAGUGCGGGGCCAGGGUGCGCCCUCCCUCCUCCUCCAGCCAGUGAAACCCGGGACAGCGGCACCCAGCCCCAGGGCGGAGGCCGUCUCUGCUGCGCGCAGCGACGCACCCAGGCCCAAGGGCCGGGAGAUCCGCGGGGAACCCGGAGACCUGCGUCCCAGAGGGGCCGAGGGUUGCACCGCGCCCGCUCCCACGGGCCUCUUCCGAGAGGACGCUUCUCCCGCGUGUCCGCGGGAAGUCCUCGGAUCCUGGAUGAGAAAGAGCCUUCUCUCACCGGCUCCCAGACCCCGCGCUUUUUAAUACCUGUCCUUGCAGAGCGACUGGUCAUUUUAGGCCCGAGUCAAGCCUCUCUUGAUUAAUAAAUGACCAUGGCUCGUUUUGUUUUAA